CAAUAGCGUAUAUUAAAGUUGUUGCGGUAAAAAAGCUCGUAGUUGGAUUUCUACCGAAGAUAGCCGGUCGGGUCUUCGACCUUGUAUCUGGUUUUGUCUUUGGUAUCCUCAUAGGGAACGUUUCUGCGCUUUAUUGCGUGGUGCGGUAUCUAUGACUUUUACUUUGAGGAAAUUAGAGUGUUCACGGCAGGCAAACGCUUUGAAUAUAUUAGCAUGGAAUAAUAACAUAGGAUCUUCGUCCUAUUUUGUUGGUUUCUAGGGCUAAGAUAAUGAUUAAUAGGGAUAAUUGGGGGCAUCUGUAUCAACGCGUCAGAGGUGGAAUUCUUGGAUUGCGUUGCGACAAACUACUGCGAAAGCAUUUGCCAAGGAUGUUUUCAUUGA
rnacentral:rRNA from 1 species